rnacentral:lncRNA from 1 species
AGAGUCGGCGGUCGGAGCGGGGUGACGAGGACCUCAUGCACGAGGCGGCGAAGGACCGAUGGCAGAGAACCGAGUGCGGCGCGAGGCGGUGGCCGCGGCCAGCGGGUGGGUGCGUCUGGGCGCAGGCGGGCACCGGGGCCCAGGGUCUGGUCCUCCUCCUUGUGGCGGGUCCAGGGCGCGGCCGCCUCGCCCAGCCCCUAGGCGCACUCGUCCCGGCGCGGAGGCGGCGGCGACAAGGCAGUCGCUGGGUGCCGCGUCUGCCGGCGGAGACGCAGACCGACGCGCAAGAGGCGACCGCGGCUGCCUCGGCUCCCAGCUCUGUUAACUGCGCGGAGUACUUUCGACUUUGGAGAUAGGAGGGCGAUCGCCUCCCCCACCCACCGCCUCCGCCCACCACCCACCGCCUCCGCCCCUCCGAGCAACUUUUCCCGGUGCCUGCGAGCUCCCCCUCCGCGCCGAGCCGAACGUCCCGGCCCGCCGCGCUUCGUGCCGCCGCGCGCGCAGGGAAGGCCGCUUCUCCUUCAAAGCUGGCACGGCCGCGAGUCCGGAACAAUAGUCGGGGUGUCCCGAAUGCCAGGAGCACGGCCACUGCCCGCCGGGCUGUGGGUGGCACAGGAAUGGGGGUUGCGUGGUGGAUGCAGAGCGGGGUGCAUCCCUGGAUGGCAUCGCUGGAGCGCUCGCCGCUCCGGCGACAUCGCGAGCGGUGCAAACCGGGCCGCCUGGAGCCCGUGACGCGGUGGCGGCGAGGGCGGUGGGGCUGCCUGUCCUCGGGCUACAGGACUGGGGCUCCUGGGGACCCCAAGCUGCUCGAGCCCAGGGCUGCUGGCGCCAACAGAGCUGUGCCCUGAGGACCCGGCCUCCCCGCCCGGGGGGAGGCCGCACAGGAGCGUCCCCAGCAGGUCCCGCGAAGGCGUAACAGAGCCACAAACUUUUGCCGACUCCCGCGGCCGCGGCCGCCGGCAGCCCGACUCCGGCCGCGGUGCUCAUUUAAGGUGGCGCGGGCACUAGCCGAGCAGGCUGGCCUCUGGCCGCGCUUUUGUCCCUGCGAUUCCGCUUGGGCGCGCUGCCUCCUUAAGGAAAAGCACGUGGGCAGGGGCCGCAGCCCCCGCGAGAUACCCGGGGCGUCGGCGGACAUUAGCCGCUAGGACCUUAGGCGAGAAAAUGUGGACGCAUCCCCGCCGGCCCUGAGGCCAGAGAAUCCCCCCUCAACUGGUUGCACCUCAUGUCCCUCCCGCACACGUUGACUCUCCCUCCUAAUCCCCAGGACCCCGAGGGCUCUCCCACAUCUCCCGCAGCAAGAGCCACCGAUCCCCCUUAAGAAGCGUUGACUGUACGGCGGCGCCAGAGGGCCAAACUAAGUUCGGUUUCGGGAAACGCUCUCGGGAGCAGUUCUGUAAAUCCCUGCUGGGAGCAGAGACUGCGAAAAGCUGAGUCCGCCGAUCGUGCCCGGGACAAGGCUGCCUUCCACUCGCCCUCGCCGCAUCUACCUGGUAGGCGGCAUGCGCACGGGCUUAGAGGCUUGAGAGCCUCUGGAAGAGAAAGGGUCCCAGGAAGGAAACCUGCCCCCGGCCUAAGUGUCGGCGCCCAGAUCACCACGAACCCCGCACCUAGGCGCCGCCCACCAAGUUCCAAAGAAGUCCGAGGCGACCUGGGAGUCGGUCGGAUCCCAGCCGAGAAAAGAAACAAGCAGGAUAGCAAUUCUUAGGGGAGCCACCCUGGGAGUUUUAGGCAGCGUUUGCCUUUCCCUGGUUUUCUUCACCAAGCCCCAUCCUCCCCCCGCAUACCACCCCCAGUCAAAAGAGUGGGAGAAAAUGCACAGUUCGAAGUCGGUGAGAGCAAAAAUGGGUCUAGUAAAUCAACCCGUGGUGGUAGCUAAAAGGUUUGGGGCUGCAAAGAAACAAACUGUAAGUUUUGAGCAACAAACUUUUUCUUCAAUCUGUAAUAUGUCGAAAUGGGAAGGGGGUGUUGCAAAAGCCAACUACCACUGUCAAACUUAGCCCGUUUACAACAUGGGGAAAGGCGUAUUUCUUACUAAUAUCUCAACAACGAUAACAAUGCUGUAUCCUUCCUUACCUUGAUGUUGAACUGCGAAUCCUCCUCCGGAUCAAUGUCCAGGAACUUAGAAGAAUUGGUGAUAUUAGGAGUUCAGUACUUCUGGAAAAAAAUGCAAAUGGUUUAGCCAGGAUCUUUCCUGUCUGAUUCGUCACUAUUAUUAUAUCUGAUGAUGCGAAUGGUUGGAGCGAUUCAAUCCUAAGUCAUUAAUGAGCUAUUUUAUAAACACCACUGUCUGAAGAUCUUCAUUUACAUUUUGCUAAGGAUCACUUCGCUAACCUCACAGGCUUGUGUCAACAGCAUGAUUUGCAGGACUUCAGUUACACUCUUAUAAACAACACGGCUGUAUUGUUAAUCGGUUAAUAUUUUAUAAAGUGUAAAUAUUUUAUUAUGUUUUGAAGGGAACUAUUGAUUCUAAAUUAUUAAACCCCUGAGAAGGACUAUUUAAAUGAAAUAUACAAUUAAGUACAAUUAAAUGUACAUUGUGGUUAGUUUGUUUUCAGAUUCUGCACCCUUUUAAAUUCAUUGCUUUUCUCUUUACUGGAGUUUCCUCUUGUCCAUUUCUGAUACUGAAAAAAAUCUAUCAUGUUAGGAAAAAGCCUAAAUUAUUUAAAGUUGCAUUAAACUUAGAGGAAAAUGUCAAAUACGAUUAAUUAUGACCAGAAAUGUAUUUUGGAUGUUUGUAGAGUUGUAUUUCAUAUCACAUUUUACAAAUUUCUUCCGAUUUAAAGGAGAGUUCUAGGAAGUUUUGUGAUCUAUGUCCGGUGUGGGUUUUUGUCCUCUCGAGUUUUGUCUCUAAUAAAGGCCUUUUUUGUUUCAAAU